rnacentral:rRNA from 1 species
GAUGAACGCUGGCGGCGUGCCUAAUACAUGCAAGUCGAGCGAACAGACGAGGAGCUUGCUCCUCUGACGUUAGCGGCGGACGGGUGAGUAACACGUGGAUAACCUACCUAUAAGACUGGGAUAACUUCGGGAAACCGGAGCUAAUACCGGAUAAUAUAUUGAACCGCAUGGUUCAAUAGUGAAAGACGGGUUUGCUGUCACUUAUAGAUGGAUCCGCGCCGCAUUAGCUAGUUGGUAAGGUAACGGCUUACCAAGGCAACGAUGCGUAGCCGACCUGAGAGGGUGAUCGGCCACACUGGAACUGAGACACGGUCCAGACUCCUACGGGAGGCAGCAGUAGGGAAUCUUCCGCAAUGGGCGAAAGCCUGACGGAGCAACGCCGCGUGAGUGAUGAAGGUCUUCGGAUCGUAAAACUCUGUUAUUAGGGAAGAACAAAUGUGUAAGUAACUAUGCACGUCUUGACGGUACCUAAUCAGAAAGCCACGGCUAACUACGU